CCUGUUGAGUUUGUAUGAAGAAAGCUUCGAGCUUUAGGUUUCACCUGAUAGAAGAUUCUUGGUGAUUGCAGGGACUAUCAAUACAUCAUUUAGAGGUUCUGAGAUAAUGUGUGCCGUAGCCCCUGUAUCCGGAUACCAUUCUGAGCCAUAGGGUUCUUCAAUGUGAA